rnacentral:rRNA from 1 species
CUACGGAGGGUGCGAGCGUUAUCCGGAUUUAUUAGGUUUAAAGGGUGUGUAGGCGGGAGCCUAAGUCAGUGGUGAAAUCUCACAGCUUAACUGUGAAACUGCCAUUGAAACUGGGUUUCUUGAGUAUAGUUGAGGUAGGCGGAAUGUGUAAUGUAGCGGUGAAAUGCAUAGAUAUUACACAGAACACCGAUUGCGAAGGCAGCUUACUAAGCUAUUACUGACGCUGAUGCACGAAAGCGUGGGUAGCGAACAGGAGUAGAAACCCCAGUAGUCC